UACGGAGGGGGCUAGCGUUGUUCGGAAUUACUGGGCGUAAAGCGCACGUAGGCGGAUCAGUCAGUCAGGGGUGAAAUCCCGGGGCUCAACCCCGGAACUGCCUUUGAUACUGCUGGUCUUGAGGUCGAGAGAGGUGAGUGGAAUUCCGAGUGUAGAGGUGAAAUUCGUAGAUAUUCGGAGGAACACCAGUGGCGAAGGCGGCUCACUGGCUCGAUACUGACGCUGAGGCGCGAAAGCGUGGGGAGCAAACAGG
rnacentral:rRNA from 1 species